rnacentral:rRNA from 1 species
UACGUAGGGUGCGAGCGUUGUCCGGAAUUACUGGGCGUAAAGAGCUCGUAGGUGGUUUGUCGCGUCGUCUGUGAAAUUCCGGGGCUCAACUCCGGAUGGGCAGGCGAUACGGGCAUAACUUGAGUGCUGUAGGGGAGACUGGAAUUCCUGGUGUAGCGGUGAAAUGCGCAGAUAUCAGGAGGAACACCGAUGGCGAAGGCAGGUCUCUGGGCAGUUACUGACGCUGAGGAGCGAAAGCAUGGGUAGCGAACAGG